rnacentral:lncRNA from 1 species
CUUUAUUCCUGACAGUCUUCCUGUUACCACCAUACCUUUUUCAUUUUUUGUUGGUUUUGGCAAGGGCUAUGUUCUUUGAUAAAAUGAUAUGUAUCGAUAAAUUAUAUAAAAGAAAAUACUUUAAAUGAAAACAGACCACUUGAAUAGGGAAAUAACAUCCUGCUCAGAAAACUCUCAGUAACGCCCAAUGUUUGUUUUGUUAAUUUUUUCAUAAAAUGUUCUUUUCAUAUCAAUAUGCAUUCAUAUAAUACAUCUAAGUACUAAUUGUAUUAACUGUGUUGAAUAUUCAUGCUUCUAUAAGUAGAGUUUAAGAGGAAAUUCUUGAUUGGAUAUA